GAUGAACGCUAGCGGCAGGCCUAAUACAUGCAAGUCGAACGAAGCAGCAAUGCUUAGUGGCGCACGGGUGCGUAACGCGUACGUAACCUACCUUUUACUGGGGGAUAACUUCUCGAAAGAGAAGCUAAUACAGCAUAAUGCAUUAAGGUCACCUGGUCUAAAUGUGAAAGAUUUAUUGGUAAAAGAUGGGCAUGCGUCCAAUUAGCUAGUUGGUAGUGUAACGGACUACCAAGGCUACGAUUGGUAGGGGGUCUGAGAGGAUGGUCCCCCACACUGGUACUGCGAUACGGACCAGACUCCUACGGGAGGCAGCAGUAGGGAAUAUUGGGCAAUGGACGAAAGUCUGACCCAGCCAGGCCGCGUGCAGGAUGAAGGCCCUCUGGGUUGUAAACUGCUUUUGACAGGGAAGAAAUACACCAUGCGUGGUGAGCUGGCGGUACCUGUAGAAUAAGCACCGGCUAACUCCGUGCCAGCCGCCGCCGUAA
rnacentral:rRNA from 1 species